rnacentral:rRNA from 1 species
GAUGAACGCUAGCUACAGGCUUAACACAUGCAAGUCGAGGGGCAGCACAGUGUAGCAAUACGACGGGUGGCGACCGGCGCACGGGUGCGUAACGCGUAUCCGACCUACCCAUAACACGGGGCACAGCCGCUCGAAAGAGUGAUUGAUUCCCGAUAUGUCAUUAGAGUAGAUUUAAUGAUGAAAGAUUUAUCGGUUAUGGAUGGGGAUGCGUAAGAUUAGGUAGUAGGCGGGGUAACGGCCCACCUAGCCGACGAUCUUUAGGGGUUCUGAGAGGAAGGUCCCCCACACUGGUACUGAGACACGGACCAGACUCCUACGGGAGGCAGCAGUGAGGAAUAUUGGUCAAUGGGCGGAAGCCUGAACCAGCCAAGUAGCGUGAAGGAUUACAGCCCUACGGGUUUAAACUUCUUUAUAUAAGAGUAAUGUGCACUACGUGUAGUGUAUUGCAAGUAUUAUAUGAAUAAGCAUCGGCUAACUCCGUG